rnacentral:rRNA from 1 species
GAUGAACGCUGGCGGCGUGCUUAACACAUGCAAGUCGAACGAUGAAGCCCAGCUUGCUGGGUGGAUUAGUGGCGAACGGGUGAGUAACACGUGAGUAACCUGCCCUUGACUCUGGGAUAAGCCCGGGAAACUGGGUCUAAUACCGGAUAGGAGCGCCUGCCGCAUGACGGGUGUUGGAAAGAUUUUUCGGUCAUGGAUGGACUCGCGGCCUAUCAGCUUGUUGGUGAGGUAAUGGCUCACCAAGGCGACGACGGGUAGCCGGCCUGAGAGGGUGACCGGCCACACUGGGACUGAGACACGGCCCAGACUCCUACGGGAGGCAGCAGUGGGGAAUAUUGCACAAUGGGCGGAAGCCUGAUGCAGCGACGCCGCGUGAGGGAUGACGGCCUUCGGGUUGUAAACCUCUU